rnacentral:lncRNA from 1 species
GUAAGCGGCAGCCUUCAGCGUGCUGGUGUGAACAGCACACCAGCACAGGCCGCUUCCCCGCAAAUCCCUGCAGAACAGCAGGGGCCUCUGAGCUCAGGCUUCGCAGUCAAGAAGAGGGGCAGGCGCCUUGCUGGUGCCCCUCCAGAGCCCCUUCCCCCUCACCGCCCCCGUCCCUAAGAAUCGCUUCCUUCCAAAAGGGACCACCUCCCCCCACCCCACGGCUCGUGACUGUGGACACCAGGAGGGCCCAGCUGAGGGUCGGCGUGCCUGGUGUGGAAUCUGCUCUGUGACCACAGAUGGGCCUCGCUACCUCUCUGAGCCUCGCUGCUUCUCUGUUAGUUAUCAACUGCUGCACUUAAAAAUCACCCCUGUCAGAGCCUUCAAACAACACACAUUCUUCUCUCCUGGCGUCCAGGGUCAGGAAUCCAGGCCUGCCUUCCCUGGCACCCCACCCAGGUCUCUUCCAGGCUGCAGUGCCUGGCUCAGUAUCCGCCUGCAGGAGCGUGAAUCUCGAAUGCAGAGCACAGGUGACUGCUGAAGGAGGCCGGACCCCGAGGCUCACGGGAAGUGCCUUAGCGACUGCGACAGAGGGAGUUCCCGUCAACCUAAUAGAGGGGGAAAUAUCGCGAACCAGAAACCCACACGACACUCACCAGAGAUUUUCCUCCAAGGCUGAUGAGCGGUGAGGAGUAACUGCGGGUACAACGACAUUAUUUAUGUCCAACUUCUGCGUCAAGGCCCACUGUGACGUUUAGGACUCUUCGGGGUCUUCUAAGUGAUAACUUUUUUAGCGAGUAUUAUUAUUCUCUCCCGAGUUUCGCUGAGUGCGGCACAGGCACGGUUGUGCCAUGCGGGAUGGUUUGAGGUGGCACACGAUGACUUCUUUGUCUUAAUUUAAAGGCACUGGAGAGUCUUUGCUGGCCUUUACAUUUUGCAGUUUUUUAUGCCAACUGAUAUAUUUUGUGUUCAUUAUAGUGAUAUAAAGCUUGUUUUUAAAGUAAGUGCAUUUAAUCAAAAAGAAUAAUUUGGCUUUAAGAAAAACUUGAAGUCAAUGCUAGCCCAGGGAUUGUACUCUGGCAUGGACACUGGGACCUCGUGGACAACAGCCCUCUGGCUCUAUUAUUUCCGGAUAAUUUCCCAUUACUUCCAGGGUCUCUGCGGGAGACCCUAACACACAUUUGUCAGAUAAUUGAGGGAAUAAUCAAUAGAAAUAACUUCCUAUAAGGCCGACAAUAUCACCCCUGAUUAACUCAGGUUAUAAGGGUCCUAACAGAAACAGCUACCAUGGAUCACUGAGUAUUUAUUAUAUGCUGGGCACUUCAUCAAAUGCAUUACUAUGUCACCUCAUUAAACUGCCAGACCUUUAUACAGUAUUUAUUCUAUCCUUCCACAAAAGUCAGACACACAGAGAAGUGAAGUCACCUGCUAAAUACAUCAGGUAAGGUUAUAUUCAAAGGCUACUUAUGGCUUAACAAGAAGCCUGCAGGGUGUAGUUCCAGGAUUCACUCAGCAACCACCAAGGACAAGCAUCUCUGUAA